rnacentral:rRNA from 1 species
UGGGGAAUAUUGCACAAUGGGCGGAAGCCUGAUGCAGCGACGCCGCGUGGGGGAUGAAGGCCUUCGGGUUGUAAACUCCUUUCGACAGGGACGAAGCUUUUGUGACGGUACCUGUAUAAGAAGCACCGGCUAACUACGUGCCAGCAGCCGCGGUAAUACGUAGGGUGCGAGCGUUGUCCGGAAUUACUGGGCGUAAAGAGCUCGUAGGUGGUUUGUCGCGUCGUCGGUGAAAUUCCGGGGCUUAACUCCGGGCGUGCAGGCGAUACGGGCUGACUUGAGUGCUGUAGGGGAGACUGGAAUUCCUGGUGUAGCGGUGAAAUGCGCAGAUAUCAGGAGGAACACCGAUGGCGAAGGCAGGUCUCUGGGCAGUAACUGACGCUGAGGAGCGAAAGCAUGGGUAGCGAACAGG